UACAGAGGGUGCGAGCGUUAAUCGGAAUUACUGGGCGUAAAGCGUGCGUAGACGGUUAUUUAAGUCGGGUGUGAAAGCCCCGGGCUCAACCUGGGAAUUGCAUUCGAGACUGAAUAGCUAGGGUACGGUAGAGGGAAGCGGAAUUUCCGGUGUAGCGGUGAAAUGCGUAGAUAUCGGAAGGAACAUCAGUGGCGAAAGCGGCUUCCUGGACCAGUACCGACGUUCAGGCACGAAAGCGUGGGGAGCGAACAGGA
rnacentral:rRNA from 1 species